UCUAUUGUCUUUCCUCUUGUCAGAUUACAUAGCGGAAUUUUAGCUUUUUUGGUUUGGACUUUUUGACAAUCCGGCUUGUUGUUUGUACUGAAAUCCGAGUUGAAGCAGUUGGCCAGGCUUGCCGAUGAGCGCUCCGAAAUUGAGGCCUGUUUCGAGGUCUGUUCUGUCUCUGUGGGUCUCGACCCGAUCUAGAAGGAGUGCGAAGCCUGACAGUUAUCUGUAUGGAAAUACUAAUAUAAUCUAGUAGGUAGAUUUAGUUUAAGUAAAAUUUUCUGAUU
rnacentral:lncRNA from 1 species